GGAAAGCCAUGAUCUUGGUUCCUUCUUCCAAGGCGCACUGCUUGUGGAGGUCGAACCUGCAGGCCCGGCACCUGUACCUCUCGCCCGCGCCUCUCUCACGGCAGCCGUUGCACACGAACUCCCAGUACUCGGUCGCCUCCAGCGACAGCCUGUGUCCCAAGUGGGCGGGGUGGCAGAUCGAGGCUGGCAAAGCCAUGCUCUUGUCCAAGGCGCAAUGCUUGUGGAGGUCGAAGUCGCAUGGAUGGCACCUGUACCUCUCGCCCCUGCCGGGCUCACGGCAACCGUCGCAAGAGAAGCUUUUCCCUGUGUCCUGCAGCCAUAGCUUCUGUCCCAAGUGAGCCAGGUGGGAGAUCGAGGCCGGCAAAGCCAUGAUCUUGCUUCCUUCGUCCACGUGUAAUCUAGAAUCUAGAUCAGCCCAGCCAGCUUCUCUGAUAACUAAAAAACAUAUCAUGAAACUUUAGUACUUCACAAUAAUAGAUAUGGAUCAAUGCAUGCAUCAACGACGGAGAAUGAAAAAAAUUCACAAGGAUUAAUCUGUAGAAUAAAAAAACCCUAAAGGAUAACAUCAAGAAAAGAAGAACAAAGCCAAAGACCACUCGCAAAGACAGGCAAAACCCUACAACAACUAGUGCAUCAUAUAUUCUCUGCGAUUCGUUUUGAUCAACAAAAAAACACUAGCAUUUCAUCUAGUAUAGUCUAGAUUUGAAAGUUUCAAAGAUAUGAUAAGUAUAAAUCUACAUAACCGAAUGCCGGUGGCCGGGUGUGGUUCAUGGUUCCAAAAGUAUUAAGUCCCCAGAGAGCUGAGCACUAACCUUGAAGAUGUGUAGUAAUCGACUGAUCGGUGCACUUCUCAGAAAACUAACAUGCAUCCAACAAGUGGGUGUACGAGAGGGGGACAAGAAGAAAAGGAGACUUAUCUGCCUGCUUUUAUACAGCAAAAAGAAUGAAGAGCGGGCCGGCAGGGUAAGAUAAGGAGAAUGGUUGGCUACAGAUGACCGGCUGACUGGUUCAGACGUCGGUAAACCGCCCCAGAACAUCGUUUUCAGUUUCAGUUUCCUGUCGAUCAACAAACCACAUACAUCUGGACUGGUAUUAAUCGGAUCGUAACAUACACGUACAUAUAUAUCUGGCUGGCAUUGCCUGCGUGCAUGCUAAGUAUUUUGGUGGUGGCCACUCAUCUCCUGAUUUGAGUCAGUGUGUACAGUCUAGUUGACUUGGACUAGUAAACGCAAGACCACUUGCCUGUAGCCGUCCGAGGUGCCGUAACGGUAAGGCAACGUCGGCUUGCCUCUGCUCCCUAUGUCGUCGGAAAACAAAAAAUGUGACACUUUAGCAUGCCACGGAUUCCACCUACGGACUCCUCUUUAUUGAGAACCACUCCGUGUAUUUAUUCAUUCAAGUGGAGCAUCUCUGAUUGAGCAGGGUCAAUCAGGAAAUCAGGGAUAACAUUCAUAUUACAAGCAUUGUCUAAAAAAGCGAAUGCAUGCCUAGCACAUUGGUGAGCAACAAAAUUGGCCUCCCUACGCACAAAGACUAGAUCAAAUCCCUCGAAGUCCGAGAGAUAAGAGUGCAUCUCUCUAUAAACUUGGCCUCCGACUGACAUGUCGUCUCCUAUAGUCUCCAUAUGGUGCAAAUGGAUUGACAAUCCGAUUCCAUGAUCACAUGUGAUAACGAUCUGCCUUACUAGCAAGUUUCAUAGCAUCACGACAAGCUAGGAUUCCGGCUAUAAAUGGGUACUCCUUAGCAGGGUAUUUAGAGCAUCUCGCAAAUAAGAAGGACCCUUGAUCAACCGUAGCCACCACUCUGGCUCCUGCAUCUCCCAUCGCCUGGUCGGUCGCCUCGCCGCAGUUCAGUUUUACCCAGUUCAGUGGUGGUACCUUUCAAUAUUCCUUUACGAGGUCAUGUCCAUCUGUAUCACCACUUGGAGUAUCAAGUGAUGUAAUCAACUCAUCCAAUUGUCAUGCCAUAUCAAAGUGGUCAUAUAAUUCCCAAUUCUUGGCCCGACAUCUGAAUCUGCACUCCAAGAUAGUUGUCAUCUAAACCUUUGUUCCGCUCCCCUCCCCCUCGUGUCGCCUUCCCUCGGGCGGCGCCAAGUCCCCCCGAUCCCGUGCCACCAGCCCCUCCCGUGCGCGGGGCUAGCCUUUUACCCGUCCCCUAAACCCAUCGGGUUUUCUAAACCCACGGGAAAUCGGCAAGUUUAAGCAAACAUAGUAGCAACACAAAAUAGAAUUUCAGCAGCAAAAAGAGCAUAUUUCAGCGGCAUAACUUCAACCAAAAGAUUAAAAAUAGAAGUCAACAAUGUACCUAAAUGUACACUACCUAUACCUGAAUGCACAAUUGCAAUUUCUGUUGACGGUGUCAACAAUGUACCUGAAUGUACACCACCUAUACCUGGGUGGGCUAGUGUGUAGUCGAGCCUGAAUGGCCCAAUACACUCAAUGCAGUAUUUUGGUGGGGGUGGCGGGUUUUGGGUUCGGGUAUUGUUGAAAUGGGUUUGAACCCGCGAAACAUGACGGGUUUUAUACUUUACCCAGCAGCAGCCCUGCGAGGUUAAAAAGACGCCCAUUCAUGUUCCCUGAGGCCAUGUACAACGCAUCACUUACAGCAGGCGCUUAGGAAUAGAAUCCCUGCCGUUUUGCUCGUACAGAAAGAUUUUCCUGGCGUCUCCCGGCCAGCGAUGCUAGACUUGGCAGCCGGUUAGAUGUGACAUAAAGUGCCUCGGCGUUUGUAACACAGGAUCUUACGCUACAGUUUUUUAAUUAUUUUAAUUUUUUAAAAGUCUAUCUAAAUGUCUAUGCAUUGGACAUGCCCUAUAAUAGGGUAAAAAAAGAACCCACUGGGACACGGGUUCCGGGGCCCAUUGCCAUCUUGAGGCUGCACCUCCUCUAGAUCAGAAAGUAGGUUGCGCUAGCAUCCUCUCCCCUCCCCUCUCCUCUCCCGUGGGUGUUCUUGACAGAUCGAUCGAUCUGCGGGCGUGGAGUUCCUGUGGCCAUUAACUAACCUGUGGAUCCUCCCUCACUGCAGCAGCCCAUGGAAGAUGCAGCCGGCGGGGGGCAGAUCCGAGCACCACCACGGCGUCGCCGACGCGCCGCCCUUCCGGAUGGAGGACCUGCCUGCGGUAACUACUCACAUUCCGCCAGUUCCUCUUUUUUUUCUCUCCUAAUCUUCCUUACAUUACAGCAAGGGAAAUAAAAUCAUUGCUUGAUGUGAUGCAUUUGCAUCUCCCUGAACCAUGGGUUUGGAACUCUGGGGCAAAAAUGUGAGCCUCAAUGUUCAGGGCUUCUCGCUUAAAUUGUUUUCUGCAUAAAUAGGAACAUCAGCUAUGCUUCAACUGUUGUUCAUUUCAUGUUUUCCUAAGUGGGGCUCGAUAUUUUAGGUUCCUCACUGUGUCUACCAAUUAGAAACUCAGGUCCUUUCUUGUCGCAGGGGAUUCGGACUCUUAUAAUCUCACUGCUGCCACUGAAAGAGGCUGUGAGGACAAGCAUCGUUUCAACAAGUUGGAGAAUGCUCUGGAAAUUCCACUGUAAUCUAUGAUUUGAUGGCCCCAAUGUUCCGGAUUCUGAUGCCGAUGAUGAUGCCGGCGAUGAGUUUGCUUAUCUGGAUUAUGAUACCGAUGAUGAGCUUGCUCAUCAGGAUGGUACCAAAAUAACACGAGCAAAGUUCAUUGAGAUAGUAAAAGGGUUAUUCGUCGGCGUAGUGGGAUAGGGAUCAAUAAGUUCAGCAUUAAGUGUGGCCUGCUCAUAGAGUACUCUGAUCAUCUUGACAGGUGGAUUGGGUUUGCCGCUUCAUCGAAGGCAAAGAUAAUAAAUAUUGAUCUGACGUACAAGGAUUACAUCUUCCAACAAGUUCACCAGUUCCCUCUUGAGGCCUUGGAUGCUCAAGGUAGUUCCCUUGGGGCACCAAAAGCUUUUCCCUGUGUCCUGCAGCCAUAGCUUCUGUUCCAAGUGAGCCAGGUGGGAGAUCGAGGCCGGCAAAGCCAUGAUCUUGCUUCCUUCCUCCAGGUGUACUACUCUAGAUGAGCCCAGCCAGCUUCUCUGAUACCUAAAAAAACAUAUCAUGAAAUGAACUUCACAAGAAUAGAUAUAUAGAUCAAUGCGUUCAUCAGUGAUGGAGAAUGAGAAAAGAUCACAAGAAUUGACCUGCAGAAUUAAUUGAAAAAGGAAAGAAACGCAAACUAGGAAAAACCUAAAGGCUAACAUCAAUAAAAGAAGAACAAAGCCAAAGACCACUCACAAAGACAAAGGCAAAACCCUACAACAACUAGAAUAUCAUAUAUUCUCUGUGAUUUGUUUUGAUCAACAAAAAAUACUUGUAUUUCAUCUAGUAUAGUCUAGAUUUGUAUGUUUCAAGAUAUGA
rnacentral:lncRNA from 1 species